AAAAAGAUAAGCUAAUUAAGCUAAUAGGUUCAUACCCUGUAUAUAGAAGUCGACCCUCUUCUUUUUA
rnacentral:tRNA from 1 species